UGUAGAUAUAUCCAUGUUGUGGC
rnacentral:miRNA from 1 species